rfam:Rattus norvegicus chromosome 1, whole genome shotgun sequence.
GGGGAUUUGGCUCAGUGGUAGAGUGCUUGCCUAGCAAGCACAAGGCCCUGGGUUCAGUCCCCAGCUCCG